rnacentral:tRNA from 1 species
GGGUGAUUAGCUCAGUUGGGAGAGCAUCGCCCUUACAAGGCGAGGGUCACUGGUUCAAGUCCAGUAUUACCCA